CAGUAGCCGCGGUAAUACGAAGGGGGCUAGCGUUGCUCGGAAUUACUGGGCGUAAAGGGAGCGUAGGCGGACUGUUUAGUCAGAGGUGAAAGCCCAGGGCUCAACCUUGGAACUGCCUUUGAUACUGGCAGUCUUGAGUACGGAAGAGGUAUGUGGAACUCCGAGUGUAGAGGUGAAAUUCGUAGAUAUUCGGAAGAACACCAGUGGCGAAGGCGACGUACUGGUCCGUUACUGACGCUGAGGCUCGAAAGCGUGGGGAGCAAACAGGAUUAGAUACCCCUGUAGUCCCUGUCUCUUAUAA
rnacentral:rRNA from 1 species